UACGAACCGUACAAACGUUAUUCGGAAUCACUGGGCUUAAAGGGUGCGUAGGCGGCCAUGUAAGUGAGGUGUGAAAUCCCUCGGCUCAACCGAGGAACUGCGCUUCAUACUGCAUGGCUUGAGGGAGACAGGGGUAAGCGGAACUGAUGGUGGAGCGGUGAAAUGCGUUGAUAUGCAGAGGAACUCCGGUGGCGAAGGCGGCCCGCUGGACCCCAUCUGACGCUGAGGCGCGAAAGCCAGGGGAGCGAACGGG
rnacentral:rRNA from 1 species